AUGAAGGCGGCCCACGACGGCAACCUCGGCCGCCUCAAAGAUAUUGUAAAGAGACUUACCAAAAGAAAUGGCGACCUGUCAGCGCUUUUUUCUAUCAACACGAACGGAUGUAAUCUGUUGCAUCUCGCGGCAUGCGCAGGCCAUUUAGAGGUUUGCAGGUACCUAGUGGAGGAGCUUGGAGGAGAUGUAAAUGCUCCUGGGGUUGGGGAUACAGCUCUAGGUGCGACUCCAUUUAUGGUGUCUACUCAGUCUGCUGAUGUUGCUACUGUCAAGUAUUUUCUUGAUCAUGGUGGUGAUCUUGUGAAAGCAGAUGACAAAGGGCGCACAGUUCUCCACCAUGCUGUGGGUAUAGGAUGCUGCAAGGUUACAGAGUUCCUCCUGUCAAAAGGAGUGCCUAUUGACAUAGACUGUGGCCGUGGAACACCACUCUUUUGGGCUGCUAAUAAUGAGCAGAAUAAGACAGUGAAGAUUUUGCUAGAGCACCAUGCAAAUGUAUAUGGCCUCUGA
rnacentral:rRNA from 1 species